GUCUAUGGCCGUGCCAUCCUGAACAAGCCCAAUCCCGUCUGAUCUCAGAAGCUAAGCAGGGUCGGGCCUGGUUAGUACUUGGAUGGGAGACCACCUAGGAAGGCCAGGUGCUGUAGGCA
rnacentral:rRNA from 1 species